CGAGGUGAGAAGGGCCUUUGUCAGGGAGGUGAGAAGGGCCUUUGUCAGGGAGGUGAGAAGGGCCUUUGUCAGGGAGGUGAGAAGGGCCUUUGUCAGGGAGGUGAGAAGGGCCUUUGUCAGGGAGGUGAGAAGGGCCUUUGUCAGGGAGGUGAGAAGGGCCUUUGUCAGGGAGGUGAGAAGGGCCUUUGUCAGCGAGGUGAGAAGGGCCUUUGUCAGCGAGGUGACCAAGAACCACAUGGUCACUCUGACAGAGCUCUAGAGAACCUUCCAGAACCUUCCAGAAGGACAACAAUCGGGGGUGAAAGGCCUUUUGUCAGUGACCAAGAAUGUAUUUAU